rnacentral:rRNA from 1 species
GAUGAACGCUGGCGGCGUGCCUAAUACAUGCAAGUCGAGCGAACAGACGAGGAGCUUGCUCCUCUGACGUUAGCGGCGGACGGGUGAGUAACACGUGGAUAACCUACCUAUAAGACUGGGAUAACUUCGGGAAACCGGAGCUAAUACCGGAUAAUAUAUUGAACCGCAUGGUUCAAUAGUGAAAGACGGGUUUGCUGUCACUUAUAGAUGGAUCCGCGCCGCAUUAGCUAGUUGGUAAGGUAACGGCUUACCAAGGCAACGCUGCGUAGCCGACCUGAGAGGGUGAUCAGCCACACUGGAACUGAGACACGGUCCAGACUCCUACGGGAGGCAGCAGUAGGGAAUCUUACGCAAUGGGAGAAAGCCUGACGGAGCACCGCCGCGUGAGUGAUGAAGGUCUUCGGAUCGUAAAACUAUGUUAUUAGGGAAGAACAAAUGUGUAAGUAACUAUGCACGUCUUGACGGUACCUAAUCAGAAAGCCACGGCUAACUACGUG